CGUUCCUUUCCGCUGCGAACUUGACCGCAGUUGGUGCCAAGACUCACAGCUGAGUCGACUUUGAGGGUCGCGAAACUACGAAGCUUCCAUUGAACAAGUAUCGACGGCCUUCUUAUAGUCGAUAUAUUCAGCAAUCAUUCAUCAUCAUCAUCUACUUAUUCACGAACGAUGAUUUUGUAGGCCGAGAACGCGCAUGUGUGAACCUGGGACUCCGAAGAGGCAUGCGGGAAGACUGACUUUCUUCGUCAAAUCUACCAUCCCACCAUCUGCGCAGAGGGUUGAUAGAAGAACAGAUUUCUACAUGAUUUGUGAUUUGCCAUCAAGGAAGCACGGAAGAGAUAUCUUUAUCAACUGUUACUGAAAUUAACAUAAUAUUAUUAUUACGAAUGAAUAUUGACUCAAAUGUUACUAGAAUUCAUCUCCAACAUCAUCAACGAAGUACAAACGAAAAUAUUUUAAUUGGGAAAACAACAUAUGAGUAAUGUAGGACUCUCGACACCUUUGUCGUCACCGUCCUACCCAGCUAUCGGGACCGAUAUCGUAGUUAUACUUCGUUUGCGAAGGAAAUGAGCGCUAGAUUCACUCGGAACACGACGAAAACUAUUAUAAAAUUAUUCUACUCACUCAAACAACGAUGUGGUUGCAUCUAUCGGGAAAAGUAAAUCAGUUAUGUUGGAAUACUACACUUGUUGCCUUAUCUAGUAGUCCACAAUUGGUUUAUGUACACCUAAUGACACUAUAAUUGAGUAAAUGACAAAUUGUAAUGUAUUAAUUGUUCUAGGGCUCAAAAAUGUGAUUUAUGCUUCGCCGUAACUCGCUAAGGCUGCUUUCCCCCUACCUUAACCGAGGGCGCCUUAAUUAACUCGCGCCAAUAUGGCGGGUUCCUUGCUCUGUGCAUGGGCCGUAAGAUCGCUGGCCGUAAGUUAAGGCGCCUUAAGGAGAUAUGUCGCCUUAACGCGUUUGAGAAUCCGGCCCCAGGGCUGCAUCAAUAGAAUGGAAUCCAGGCUUCAAUAGUUGAACUCAAUUUGCUUUAAGGAGAUAAGCAAUGUUAUUGUAUAUACUGACCCUUUAAGAACUUCAAAUGUUAUACAUAGAAAAAUAUCCACUCUGUUCUAAGAGUAUUACAUACAAGGCAACCAAUGUAUUUUCACUCAAAUUAUAUUCCUAACUACUGAACAAAAUUUUACAAAUAGGGAAUUAUGAGCAAGUACCAUCUUUCUGGAACUGUGUGGGAUAGAGAUAGAUUCAAUGUCUCUUUGUUGAGAAGCAAUAAAUUGAUGUGAUACUGUCCUGUGUGGGUAUAAUUACAACAACUCAAAGCUCCUCACCCAGAUGUUACAUACAAGCCAUCAUUAUAAAAGUACCAUCCAUCUGAUGUUGGGCUGAUCAUUUUGUGUCCUGGUGAAGAAGGAACUUGCUGGGUGUGGGCUGAUAGAGAGUACACCUGUUUCAAUCAAUGGCACCUUGUGGAAUGCCACGGAAAUUCCUUGAUCAAUGAAAUUGGCACUGAGGUGUUAAAAUGACUAAGAAGUAACAAAUUUUUUAUUAAAAAGACUUCCAAAGGGAUCAAUAGAAAAGAAAACAUUUUGUAUUGUGUAAUUUAUUUCGGUAAAACAUUCUGACCCUAGGAAAUUCAAUGUGUUCAUAACAAAUAUCUGAUAAUAUAUUUUAGCAUAUAUGGUUCUAACAAUUACUCUUUACCAAAAACUAUUAUUCCAUAACUGUACACUAUGAUGAUCAGCAGAUUUAGAAACUUCAUAACAAAUGAGCACUAAAAAAUACUACUGAAAUUAAAUUUCUACACAUGGGGUAUGCUAAUUUAUCCUGUAAAUAAAAUUGCUUUUAUCAAUAUAUCAUACUUGCAUAGGCCAGGAACUAACGAAAUUCUGUUAAUAAAGUUCAAUAAUUUUUACAGCAAUGCAUAUAGUUUCAGGAAGUUUUAAAAAAAGUGGAUCAGCCUCUUUGGCAUUUUGUGGUAAGCUGCUAAAGGAAA
rnacentral:lncRNA from 1 species